rnacentral:rRNA from 1 species
AACGAACGCUGGUGGCGUGCUUAACACAUGCAAGUCGAACGAGAAAGUUCCCUUCGGGGAAUUAGUAAAGUGGCGCAAGGGUGAGUAACACGUGAAUAAUCUGCCCUCGAGAUCGGGAUAACAUGGUGAAAACUAUGCUAAUACCGGAUAAGACCACAUCUCAUAAGAGAUGCGGGAAAAGGAGUCUCAAUCUCUACUUGAGGAUGAGUUCGCGGAACAUUAGCUUGUUGGUGGGAUAAAAGCUCACCAAGGCUACGAUGUUUAGCCGGCCUGAGAGGGUGAACGGCCACACUGGAACUGAGACACGGUCCAGACUCCUACGGGAGGCAGCAGUGGGGAAUAUUGCGCAAUGGGCGAAAGCCUGACGCAGCAACGCCGUGUGAGCGAUG